UAGGGAAUCUUCGGCAAUGGGGGGAACCCUGACCGAGCAACGCCGCGUGAGUGAAGAAGGUUUUCGGAUCGUAAAGCUCUGUUGUUAAGGAAGAACGAGUGUGAGAAUGGAAAGUUCAUACUGUGACGGUACUUAACCAGAAAGGGACGGCUAACUACGUGCCAGCAGCCGCGGUAAUACGUAGGUCCCGAGCGUUGUCCGGAUUUAUUGGGCGUAAAGCGAGCGCAGGCGGUUAGAUAAGUCUGAAGUUAAAGGCAGUGGCUCAACCAUUGUAGGCUUUGGAAACUGUUUAACUUGAGUGCAGAAGGGGAGAGUGGAAUUCCAUGUGUAGCGGUGAAAUGCGUAGAUAUAUGGAGGAACACCGGUGGCGAAAGCGGCUCUCUGGUCUGUAACUGACGCUGAGGCUUGAAAGCGUGGGGAGCGAACAGG
rnacentral:rRNA from 1 species